rnacentral:rRNA from 1 species
UGGGGAAUAUUGGACAAUGGGCGAAAGCCUGAUCCAGCGACGCCGCGUGGGUGAAGAAGGCCUUCGGGUUGUAAAGCCCUUUAAGCCGGGACGAAAAAAUCGAACCUAACACGUUCGGUCUUGACGGUACCGGAAGAAUAAGCACCGGCUAACUCUGUGCCAGCAGCCGCGGUAAUACAGAGGGUGCGAGCGUUAAUCGGAUUUACUGGGCGUAAAGCGUGUGUAGGUGGCCGCAUAAGUCGAUUGUGAAAUCCCUGGGCUCAACCCGGGAAUGGCAGUCGAUACUGCGUGGCUAGAGUUCGGUAGAGGACGGCAGAAUUCCCGGUGUAGCGGUGAAAUGCGUAGAGAUCGGGAGGAAUACCGAUGGCGAAGGCAACCGUCUGGGCCUGAACUGACACUGAGACACGAAAGCGUGGGGAGCAAACAGGAUUAGAUACCCGGGUAGUCC